rnacentral:misc_RNA from 1 species
UCCGGUUUAACACCGGCGGUCUCCUUAGAGUGCCCAACUAAAUGGUGGCAACUAAGGACAAGGGUUGCGCUCGUUAAGGGACUUAACCCGACAUCUCACGAUACGAGCUGACGACAGCCAUGCAGCACCUGUCUCUCGGUCCCCGAAGGGAAAGCCCUAUCUCUAGGGAUGUCCGAGGAUGUCAAACCCAGGUAAGGUUCUUCGCGUUGCAUCGAAUUGAACCACAUGCUCCACCGCUUGUGCGGGCCCCCGUCAAUUCCUUUGAGUUUUAAUCUUGCGACCGUACUCCCCAGGCGGGGUACUUCCUGCGUUAGCGCCGGCACCCAAGGGGUCGCUCCCCCAGGCACCUAGUACCCAUCGUUUACGGCGUGGACUAC